rnacentral:rRNA from 1 species
AUUGAACGCUGGCGGCAUGCCUUACACAUGCAAGUCGAACGGCAGCACGGGAGCAAUCCUGGUGGCGAGUGGCGAACGGGUGAGUAAUACAUCGGAACGUGCCCAGUAGUGGGGGAUAGCCCGGCGAAAGCCGGAUUAAUACCGCAUGAGACCUGAGGGUGAAAGCGGGGGAUCGCAAGACCUCGCGCUAUUGGAGCGGCCGAUGUCAGAUUAGCUAGUUGGUAGGGUAAAGGCCUACCAAGGCAACGAUCUGUAGUUGGUCUGAGAGGACGAUCAGCCACACGGGGACUGAGACACGGCCCAGACUCCUACGGGAGGCAGCAGUGGGGAAUUUUGGACAAUGGGCGCAAGCCAGAUCCAGCAAUGCCGCGUGCAGGAAGAAGGCCUUCGGGUUGUAAACUGCUUUUGUCAGGGAAGAAAUCUUCUGGGCUAAUACCCUGGGAGGAUGACGGUACCUGAAGAAUAAGCACCGGCUAACUACGUGCCAGCCGCCGCAGUAAUAC